UAAGUAGUACUCUGAGUUUUUCUCCUAAUUUUUAGGCAGGUCCAUUCUGUGCACUGGAUGUGAAGGUGGAAAAAUGUCUAAAGACUAAUGCCGAGAAGGACAUGAUGUUAAAACUGCAAGGCGCAUAUAAGGAAGACUGUUUGAUCCCAGGCUCUGAGGAAAACCCCAGCUGCUCACAGACUAUUCGCUACUACAUAAACCGAGACCUGGAGACUGAGUUUAGUCUCAUCCCACCAAAAGCUGGGGCAGAAGUGGACGGGAUAAAUCCAAAGACUGCAGACAUUCUGUCAUCAGUCCCUAUGAAACCAUUACCAGCCAAACCACAGAUUAAACUCUGCAUGCCUGUUGGACAGGUGGGUACUGAUAAAAAUCAAAUUUGAAUGGUAUACAUAUAUUUCUUCCAAAAUAAAAAUAAAAUCCAUCAACUAACUGGAAUAAUGCACUCUUUUAGGGUGAAGUGGAUCUGCAACUAAGCACAGAGGGCCGGUAAACAAUUUGAAUGGCUUAUCUCUAAUUAGUUCAGGAACAGUUUAAAGAAACUACUUUGG
rnacentral:lncRNA from 1 species